AUUGAACGCUGGCGGCAUGCCUUACACAUGCAAGUCGAACGGUAACAGGUCUUCGGAUGCUGACGAGUGGCGAACGGGUGAGUAAUACAUCGGAACGUGCCCGAUCGUGGGGGAUAACGAGGCGAAAGCUUUGCUAAUACCGCAUACGAUCUACGGAUGAAAGCGGGGGAUCUUCGGACCUCGCGCGGACGGAGCGGCCGAUGGCAGAUUAGGCAGUUGGUGGGAUAAAAGCUUACCAAGCCGACGAUCUGUAGCUGGUCUGAGAGGAUGAUCAGCCACACUGGGACUGAGACACGGCCCAGACUCCUACGGGAGGCAGCAGUGGGGAAUUUUGGACAAUGGGCGAAAGCCUGAUCCAGCCAUGCCGCGUGCAGGAUGAAGGCCUUCGGGUUGUAAACUGCUUUUGUACGGAACGAAAAGCCUCUUUCUAAUAAAGAGGGGUCAUGACGGUACCGUAAGAAUAAGCACCGGCUAACUACGUG
rnacentral:rRNA from 1 species